rnacentral:lncRNA from 1 species
ACACAGAAGAGUUUGAAUCAGUUGUGUCUGUGGGGGAGAACUUGAGUCAGCAGGUAACAAUCAUGAUGGAGGAGAAAAUGCAGGAGAGACACUCUGACGGUAUCAUGAACUCUUCAUCUCACCAAGAAAGCUCGAGCUCAAACAGAUCUACACUGAAGGCCACAGAACCUGGAAGCAUGUCCACGCAGUCUUUCUCUUCUCUGCUGCCAAAGGCUCUCUCUGCUGUGCUCCAUCCAGCUCCUCCACCAGGCCAAAACUCAGCUUGCCAUCCCAGCAGAAACCCAGAUAACCACUCACCAAACCUGGAACGACUACAAACAGAGCUGAGAGACCUUCGAGAUCAGUUGGAACAGAUGAAGAGCCAGCACAACAAAGAAAUUAAACUGUUAAUGAACGAGCUUGAUGAGGAGAAGAGGAUCCGCCUGACUUUGCAGAUGGAAAUUCAGCGAAUCAAGAAGCACAUGUCCAAAUAA